CGUUUGCACCACUACAACUUUUGCAGAGAGCAGAGCAUCCAUGAUAAACGAGGCCCGUCAACUGGAGCAAAGUCAUAGACGUCAGCGCGGCGCUCCGUGUGACCUCGCGGUGGCCACGUGUCAUCAGCUGAUCAGAGUCAUGGCAUAGGAGUGGCCGGCGAUGGCCGCCAUGGGCACAAUCCAGGAUGGGCUCGCCGUGUUUGCUAGCUCUGGGUGCCGAGGGACAGUGCCCUAGCGGUGCGCGCUGGCUUCGGUUGCCAAGGGGCAGCGGCACGAUAGUGCGCGACGGCGUGCGGUGCGCGUGCGCGCCUGGCCUGGUCGAUGACGGCUUCGCGCGCGGCACCGGCUGCUCCAAGUAGCUCGCCUGCAGCAAUGGCGCCGGACAAGCCGGUGACUGUUUCCAAGGAAGGUCCGGUAACGACACCCCUAUCGACGUCGCCCACAUUAGCGGCACGGUCCAGGCCGGCGUGCUCGACGACGGUGCUCGUCUCAGCAGGCGCUGCUGCUCGGCGGUGCAGGUCAAUGACGGUGAGUCUUCUUGGGGUGAGGCCGUGCUCCCUGUCCGGCCCCAGACCUUCAGCCAUGCUGCCCCCUCUACUGGGUCGUCGUCACUGCUGUUACCGCACUGCCCACAUGGUGUUCGACAGAUUGUCUCACAUGUUUAUUUCAAAGUGUUGGUGUCUUUCACUCUUUCUUCGCCGUAAAUGCUGACUGAUGCAGCACUGUUGCUGAUUGCCUGCGCUAAAAAGUUGAAACACAAAUUGAGCGCCCCCUCCCACCUGAGCUUCCAGCAGCAUCCUCUUCGCCGUGGUGUCAAUGAAGGUAAGGUUAAUAUAUAGACCAUCCACCAUAUCUUAUAGGCCACUGAUUUUUGCAUCUGAAGGUGUACAUCACAUGGAGAAUUUUCUUGUGCUCUCAUGUAUAUCAGGUUCAUUUUGGGCCAAUGGUUGAAAGAUAUUAUUUGAAAUGUUCCUUGGUUCGUCGACAAGGCGCACACACUGUGUUCGAUGACGACCCUGCUCCCGACUUGCUGUGCACACCUUGCUUGUAGGAGAUCACCCUUUAUGUCUAAUCGUUUAAUUCUUUAACUGGAAGUUCCUAUGCUGGCUAAGUGGCGAGGUGCAUUCACAUUGGGAAGUUAUAUUGAUCAAGUGGAAGAAAAUGAAGUAGCAGGCUCUGAUCCUCACUGCUUAGCUUUUCUAGAGAGGAUCAAAAGAUCUUUUGUUUUGGAGCAUUUGUGUAUUUGAUGAAACCCUGAACUGCAGACCCAAUCCUGAGCUUUAUUUUCAGUUUAGCAGUGGCCGUGUGCGGUAAUGUUGCUUCUUUGAAAAGAUAUGGACAGUAGAGUGUUAAGGAAUUUUUUGCUUUGAGAGAACACAAAGAGAAGAAGGGGAUACAAACAGAAGUUUGCUGGCCUGGUACAGUAUUUAACUUGUUGGUUGGUGUUGUUUUUUUAUAAUCAACUUACAUGCAGGAUUACUUUUUUUUUCUCUGGAAAGGCUUCCACCUAAAUAUAUUUCAAUUUUUUUUACUUUGUUACAAAGGCACACAGGGGAUCAGGCAUAGCGUGAGGAGAUGAAAUCACGCCACAGACCGGCGUGCUCCAUUAGAUCGCUUUAUUUCAACCUAUGCGACCAUGAGGUCAAAUCAGCGACGAUGUUUUGCAGUGUCAGCCGGCUGCCUUUCAGUUUAAUAGCACCAUAUUUAAUCAGCGACGAUGUUUCGCAGUGUCAGCCGGCUGCUCAGUUUAAUAGCACCAUAUUCUAUCUUAGGAAUUUAAACAGUACCUACGGCCUAAUAAAGAAAAGAUGCAUGAAGCAAGAGAGAAGAUGACUUUCCUAGACACAUUAUCACUUGUAUUUACAAAAAUGCAGUUUGCCUAUUUGCUUCUUCAGUGCUGGGCAUGCUAUUCCAGACUUUGUGCCCCUCAGAACCAGGUGUAGCACUUCGACAGUUCCUCUUUAAAAUGCUGUUGGAACUUUUUUGAAUGAUAUGAGCUUGUGGCAUGUGUUUAUUACCACAUUUCUCAAUAUUAGCAUUAUUCUUCUAUACUGUUUGUGUUGUGAAUGUAUGGCUGAAAAAAAAUAUGGUUAUCGUUAUGCAAAUUUGAUAUGUUUCAUGUGGCCAUAUAUUUACGAAAACUCCCAUCAUUCCAUCAAUAAUCUAGUACAUAUAUCACUGUUUCUUAUGUAAUUCAUACGCUUUAUACUACAAACCUUGGUUUGUCCAAUUUUGCUUCAGAUCCAGGUGUAGCACUUUAGCAGUUCCUCUUAAUAUUUUCGGGCACUUCUUUGAAUGGCAUGACCCAUACAUGUAGUUUCUGGCCUGUGUUUAUUGCCACAUUUUCUUAAUAUUAGCAUUAUUCCACUAUACUGUUUCUGAUAUGAAUGCAUGACUGAAAAAUGCAUAUGGUUGUCGUUAUGCAACUUCGAUAUGUUUCAUGUGGUCAUAUAUUGAACAAAACUCCUAUUAUCUUAUCACUAGUUUAUCGCUGUUUCUUAUGUAAUAAAUCCUAUGGUUUCUGCUACAAACCUUUGGCUUGCCCAAACCAGUAUGAAGGCACGAUGGCUGUGCGGCGUCUGCCUCCCGGGAGCUCGUGGCUGCGGGGAGCCUCAACUGCCCACUUGGAAAGAGAGACAGGCAGCGCGUCGGAAUAGUAUGCUUGAAAAAUGGAACCUUGAACCGGACCAAACGGGAAGCAGAGGGGGAGAAGAGGAAGAAGCCGGAGGCGAAAGGGAUAGGUGGGCAGGGCCGCAGAGAGAGCAAUCCCCAAAAGCUACCCUCUUCGUUCUCCUCCACAGAACUCGAUUGCCAGGCAUCUUUACUCUGUGCUGCACCUCUUUCUCCCGUGGACUUGGCCCAUGGACCAUGCUUGUAGCAAUUUUAUUCUCUUUUCUUUUUGAACCUAUGAUAUUAGUAGCAGUGUUGAGAAUACGGAUCUCGCGAGAAUAAUGUGCUCGGUUUUCUACGAGUCGAACCGACUCGCUGCGCCUUGGGCCAUAGAA